rnacentral:rRNA from 1 species
ACGUGAGUAACCUUCCCUUGACUCUGGGAUAAGCCCGGGAAACUGGGUCUAAUACUGGAUAUGACCUUCCAUCGCAUGGUGGAGGGUGGAAAGAUUUAUCGGUCUUGGAUGGACUCGCGGCCUAUCAGCUUGUUGGUGAGGUAAUGGCUCACCAAGGCGACGACGGGUAGCCGGCCUGAGAGGGUGACCGGCCACACUGGGACUGAGACACGGCCCAGACUCCUACGGGAGGCAGCAGUGGGGAAUAUUGCACAAUGGGCGCAAGCCUGAUGCAGCGACGCCGCGUGAGGGAUGACGGCCUUCGGGUUGUAAACCUCUUUCAGUAGGGAAGAAGCCUUUUAGGUGACGGUACCUGCAGAAGAAAGCGCCGGCUAACUACGUGCCAGCAGCCGCGGUAAUACGUAGGGCGCGAGCGUUAUCCGGAAAUUAUUGGGGCGUAAAAGAGCUCGUAGGCGGGUUUGUCGCGUCUGCUGUGAAAAGCCCCGGGGGCUUAACUUCCGGGGUGUGCAGUGGGGUACGGGGCAGACUAGAGUGCAGUAGGGGGAUACUGGAAUUUCCUGGGUGUAGCGGUGAAAUGCCGCAGAUAAUCAGGAGGAACACCCGAUGGGCGAAAGGCAGGUCUCUGGGCUGUUACUGACGCUGAAGGAGCGAAAGCAUGGGGGAGCGAACAGGAUUAGAUACCCUGGUAGUCCAUGCCGUAAACGUUGGGCACUAAGUGUGGGGAACAUUCCACGUUUUCCGCGCCGUAGCUAACGCAUUAAGUGCCCCGCCUGGGGAGUACGCCGCAAGCUAAACUCAAGAAUUGACGGGCCGCACAGCGCCGAGCAUGCGA